GUGCUCAAUUCAGCAGCACAUAUACUAAAAUUGGAACAAUAUAGAGAUUAGCAUGACCUCUAGGCAAGAAUGACACGCAAAUUUGUGAAGCAUUCUAUAUUUAA